AAAGAGAGAGGGAUAAGGAGAGAGUAUGCAGACAUGCUAAACCUUACUAUCUAUGAGGAAAAUGUGUUGCUAAAUGUAUUCUUUUACCCAGGGUGUGUGUCUGUGUGUCUGUGUGUGUGUGUGUGAGUGUGUGUGUGUGUGUGUGUGUGAGAGAGAGAGAGAGAAUGCAGACAUGCUAACCUUACCAACUAUUAGGAAGAAGUGUUGGCUAAAUCUAUUAUUUUGUCUCCUUAUGUAACCAGGCCACAGACACACAGACCAGUGUCUUCAGGGCCCAGCUGUGUGUCUAUGAAGAGUGACUGGUCCAUGGGACACCUUCCUCCCAAUAUCAGCAGUGGACCACCACAGUCUGAUCCAAAUGUUCCGAGGAAUGUUCUGACCCAGGAUCAGUCCAGGUGUGGAGUGUGUGAGCAGCUACUGAGGGACCCAGUCAUCAUCAUCUGUGGACACAGUUUCUGCAGGCCGUGCAUCAGCAGCUACUGGAGCCAGUCUGGUCCAUCAGGAGACUACAGCUGCCCCCAGUGCAGAAAGAGAUCCAGAGCACAACCCUUUCUAAACCCUGACAUAACCAUGGCACAACCUCUGUUAUACCCACAUACAACCAUGACACAACCUCCUGUAUAUCCCCCUACAGCCAUGGCACAAUCUUCUCUCUACCAACACAGAAAAAUGGCACAGCUUCAUCUGAAGCCAUCUACAACCAUGGCACAAGUUCCUCCAUAUCCUCACUCAGACUCAGGGCAGAACCCUCUAUACCCACACUUACACAUGGUAGAGAUUUUACCACGGUCUAAACCAUGGUGAGUUCUCAACUGUUACAUUUCAUUUUUUUACAUUUUACAAAUACACAUAUGUACGUGUGUGUGUGUGUGUGUGUGUGUGUGUGUGUCGUGCAAAUCUUUGGUGUACACAGUAUUUUUAGGUUUUACAAAUACACAUGUACAAGAGUGGAGAAUUGUUUGUGCGUGCGGGUGUGUUUGUUUUUCUGUGUGUGCGCGUUAAAGAGAGACAGAGUUGUUUGUGCGUGUGUGUGUGUGAGAGAGAGAGAGAGAGAGAGAGUUUGAGUGUGUCUGGGAGU
rnacentral:lncRNA from 1 species